UACAGAGGUGGCAAGCGUUGUUCGGAAUUACUGGGCGUAAAGGGCGCGUAGGCGGUCUUGUAAGUCUCGUGUGAAAUCCCUCGGCUUAACUGAGGAACUGCACGGGAUACUGCUUGACUUGAGUUCGGGAGAGGGAAGCGGAAUUCCGGGUGUAGCGGUGAAAUUCGCAGAUAUUGGAUGGAACACCAGUGGCGAAGGCGGCUAACUGGCUCGGUAUUGACGCUGAGGCACGAAAGCGUGGGUAGCAAACAGG
rnacentral:rRNA from 1 species